rnacentral:rRNA from 1 species
GUGGGGAAUAUUGGACAAUGGGCGAAAGCCUGAUCCAGCCAUGCCGCGUGUGUGAAGAAGGUCUUCGGAUUGUAAAGCACUUUAAGUUGGGAGGAAGGGCAGUAAGUUAAUACCUUGCUGUUUUGACGUUACCGACAGAAUAAGCACCGGCUAACUUCGUGCCAGCAGCCGCGGUAAUACGAAGGGUGCAAGCGUUAAUCGGAAUUACUGGGCGUAAAGCGCGCGUAGGUGGUUUUGUAAGUUGGAGGUGAAAUCCUCGGGCUCAACCUGGGAACUGCCUCAAAAACUGCAUGACUAGAGUACGGUAGAGGGUAGUGGAAUUUCCUGUGUAGCGGUGAAAUGCGUAGAUAUAGGAAGGAACACCAGUGGCGAAGGCGACCACCUGGACUGAUACUGACACUGAGGUGCGAAAGCGUGGGGAGCAAACAGGAUUAGAAACCCCGGUAGUCC